GUAUCACCAUCACUGUCACCAUGCUGCUGCUGAGACCACAAAGUGAUAGUUUGAAAUAAAGGCUAUACUGUUUAGCAGAGAUGCUAAACAAGAUAAAAGAUGUAUUUUGCUGCACUCCACAGAGAUGUACUAGCACUGUGAAAACCCUGAAAGAAUUCUCCACCUGCUUAAAUUCAGAACAAUCUUCCAACAAAAGAGAUUUUGUCAUUCUUAUUGUUGCCUGAAGACACCAGCCAGAACAAUAAACAGCUCCAAACUCACUAAGCGGAGAUUCCUGGAAGACAUCGCGUUUUUGGAAGAGAAGCAUAGC
rnacentral:lncRNA from 1 species